AUCCUCUUCAUCCGAGGAAUGUCCCAAAAGAGGAACAAAUCUUCGAUAAGAAAUCUAGAUAAAGAAAUCCAACUCUUACAAGCACGCAUCCCAGUUGAUAAAUCUUUUGACAACAACAGGAGCCAAAUCUCAGAUUCCAAUACUAUUUUAACAGAAAACGAUUUCUUCCAAAGUUCCCCAGAAGAUAUCGCCAGAUAGACUGUGCUUGAUUAAGUUUUCAUCACUGAAAUCCCAAGUCACCUGGAUAAUCCGCUCGUAACUAAACGAAAUUCCCAUAUUCUCGAAAUUUAAGAGACAAUUCGUUCAAAUGGAAACUCCCAGGGAAGUUUGAGGCCGUGGAGCUAGACAUCGAGACUUCACGAGCGACACGCCGGAACCUCUCCUCUCUUCAGCGUAGCUUCGACUAGUCUCGGCCAGUUAUAGUAUGCUCUUGUUAUCUUCCGAUUUCCAGGUAAUCAACGUCCUCCAACUCCUACGAAAUUCUACAUGAUAUUUUGAAUGAUCAAAUUCAAAAACUGAGCUUGGAUUAUUUAUAUUCAACGCGGAAUCUGAAUGUUCAAUUCAGCAAACGGAUUUGAAAACAGGGGAUGUAAAAUUAGAGGGAUUUCGACAAGAUUGUGCAUGAAAAAAAAGGGGGAAAAUUUAAUGAUUAGGUUAGGUAGGCUUUGCUACCUUUAGAAAUUAGCCUGUAUAUCUCGCACAAGAAAUUAAACACUACCAGAUUACAUUACAAUAACAAAAUGUGUAAAUGGAACUAAAUAAGAGAGAUUGAAAAGUAUGAUUUUGAAAGUUGGGAAGGAAUUUGCAAGAGGGACUAGGAGUUAGAGACUAAAAAAUAAUAAAUAAAAAUAGCACGAUGAUGGUUGUAGUUGAACCUAGACGUACACAUGCUAAUUUUAGAACCAUCACCAUUACGCUGUAGCUACUUUAUUUUCACUUAACUAAGGGUUUUAAUUAUUAUGAUUCUUUUUAAAAUUUCCAAAUAGGGCCUCACCUUAAGUUUCACUUCAAGUUUCUAGUUGUAGUAGUCCAAGUUGAAAAGCAAAAUCUUAUUUUAUAAAGUUGGAUAUGUGGAUCAUGUGACUAUUUAACAGAAGGUUGGACGAUUUUCAUUGUAGGAAAUUGAUGGUGAAACUGUGAUGAAAUAUUGAGGACCAAUUUGUUCCUUCUCUAAAGUUGUAGCCAAACUUGCUAGUAAGACAACAUAUUGGUGACUAAUGGUACAAAUUAAAUAAGAUUUAUUGCACAUUUCGUCCCCCUACCUUUUAAGAUUAGUACAUCUACCCUUAACCAAUUUUAUUAGCACAAUACAUCACAAUCUUUCAAUUAAUUAGCAUUAUUACUAUUGAAUAAUACCAAUGGUGGAGGUGACAACAAUGCCGAUAUGAUGUGAUGUGGUGUGGUGUGGUGGGAUAAAAGAUGAAUUAAAUUUUUUAUUUUUUAAACUUUUUAUGUGCC
rnacentral:lncRNA from 1 species